CCUACGGUGGGCUGCAGUGAGGAAUAUUGGUCAAUGGCCGCAAGUCUGAACCAGCCACGUCGCGUGAGGGAUGACGGUCCUAUGGAUUGUAAACCUCUUUUGUCAGGGAGCAAAGUGCGCCACGUGUGGCUUUUUGCGAGUACCUGACGAACAAGCAUCGGCUAACUCCGUGCCAGCAGCCGCGGUAAUACGGAGGAUGCGCGCGUUAUCCGGAUUUAUUGGGUUUAAAGGGUGCGUAGUCGGCUCGUUAAGUCAGUGGUCAAAUUGAGGGGCUCAACCCCUUCCCGCGAUUGAAACGGGCGCUCUGGAGUGGAAGAGAAGUAGGCGGAAUGCGUGGUGUAGCGGUGAAAUGCAUAGAUAUCACGCAGAACCCCGAUUGCGAAGGCAGCAGGCCGGCUUCCGACUGACGCUGAAGCACGAAAGCGUGGGGAUCGAACAGGAUUAGAUACCCUAGUAGUC
rnacentral:rRNA from 1 species